rnacentral:rRNA from 1 species
UACGGGAGGCAGCAGUGGGGAAUAUUGCACAAUGGGCGCAAGCCUGAUGCAGCCAUGCCGCGUGUAUGAAGAAGGCCUUCGGGUUGUAAAGUACUUUCAGUCGUGAGGAGGGUGUUAAGGUUAAUAACCUUAGCAAUUGACGUUAGCGACAGAAGAAGCACCGGCUAACUCCGUGCCAGCAGCCGCGGUAAUACGGAGGGUGCGAGCGUUAAUCGGAAUUACUGGGCGUAAAGGGCACGCAGGCGGUUAAUUAAGUUGGAUGUGAAAUCCCCGGGCUUAACCUGGGAAUGGCAUUCAAGACUGGUUAGCUAGAGUCUUGUAGAGGGGGUAGAAUUCCAUGUGUAGCGGUGAAAUGCGUAGAGAUGUGGAGGAAUACCGGUGGCGAAGGCGGCCCCUGGACAAAGACUGACGCUCAUGUGCGAAAGCGUGGGGAGCAAACAGGAUUAGAUACC